GGUCCUGAUCCCACUGACAAAGCUCACGUUGAUGACCUAUGACAAACUUAUUUUUGAUGAAACAGAAUCAAGUCCUAAAGAUGAAAGCAAACUGGAGAAGCAGUGAAGAUUUUCAUGUUAGCUGUCAACAAACUACGCUACAGUAGGGAAAAAAAAAGGAAAAGGAAGAGGAAAAGGAAAAGGAAAAGGAAAAGGAAAAGGAAAAGGAAAAGGAAAAGGAAAAGGAAAAGGAAAAGGAAAAGGAAAAGGAAAAGGAAGGCCUCCUCUCUAACUGUCCUCUUCUUCAAAUCAUACCUUUCCUUAUAUAGACUAAUUGCUUUUACUGAAAAAAAUUAUAUAGAGCAGUUCCCCUCUACAUUGCUUCAGCCCACACUUACUUUCUCUCCUUUGGGACUGAAUGGGAGAAAUGUCACACCAUGCAGUAUCAAUAAUGAUAGUGAAGUGCAUGGAAGGCAGCUUUCUUUCUAGUCAGACAUGCAGGCUACUUCACUUUAUUGAACAUCUGUAUCAUCAAUAGAAAUGUAGAAUACAUUGCUUCCAACUCUUUUACUGUUAGGUCUGAAUUCAAACACUAGAGAGCUUUCCAGUGAAUGUCCAUGAAUUACGACAGUAAACAAUGCAACAGAAGAUAUUAAACUGAUAAAGCUGUGGGGAAUGAGGAAGGCAUUGUCUAUCAUUCUCUUUGAGAAGAAUCUUCAGAAGGAACAAGGUAAAUCUACUGUGAAUGUUAUGAGCCAAACCCAGAUCACCAACUUCAAACAGAAUUGGCGGUACCUGUAGAGAGUUUUCCCUGGCAGACAAGAUUUCACUAAAGCCAGCAGAGCAGAGUUUCUACCUGCACAUAGUGUAAAGAAGCCUGAAUUUCAGUGAGUGAUGGCACACUCAUGACAUCUCACAAAAUUAGACUGCCUGUGAGAGAGAAGCCUGAGACUGAGAUGAAUAGGACAUGGUCUGUCCUUCGCGUGAAGAGAGCUGUGAAGAGUGGCCUUCAUGAGAAGAGAGCAGUUUUAGAAAACUGAUACUACUUCAGCUGUGGACUUGAAGAGAGACAGUAUACAGCCCUGUGCUCAAAGUUUGUUCAACAUUGAUAUUAUUUUCCUAGCCAGUGGUUCAUUGGUACUUCACCAUAAAGUUGGACGGCCAGCCUUAAAGUGGAGAACAUGUAAAUGUCUGGAAAUCUUGAAACACCUUUGCAGUUCCCCCUUGGAUGGAAAAUAACAAUAGUUUAACAAAUGGAGAUGCAUCACAUCACAGCUUCAGAAACAAACAUGAACUUCAGCGCUGAAGGACUGAAAGCUACACAUGCAGGAAAAUGGAGACAUACGUGGAUGGAUAGAAAGUGCUAUUGAAUCAGCAAUGUCAGAUGUGGACAGAUAUUUUAAUUUACAUAUUACCUGAAAGAUACAGAAA
ensembl:lncRNA